UCCAGGCCCCCAGCAUCCUGUGAUGCUGUGUAAUGAAGUUCUGUUCUAGCUCAGUGUUUUCCCCCAAGUUCAGGUCUCUGCAUUUCUUUCUGCUUCAUCUACCCCUCCUGACUUCCACAUGGAAAUUCCAGCAGCCAGGGGCUGAGAGGCUUGUUGUGAUUGACUCCCUCUUCCCUAUCCCUUCUUCUUGAGACAGCCUACACUGCCAGCCUAGAUAAACUCCAUCACUCCAGUGUCUCCACGAGUUCCUCCUCCAUCUACUUCGUGACAAGAUUCCCUCUGGUCCUUCCAUGGUGCAAUGCAUCUGGAGACUCC